GCUGGGUAUGGUGGCGCAUGCCUGUAAUCCCAGCAACUCGGGAGGCUGAGGCAGAAGAAUCUCUUGAACCCGGGAGGCAGAGGUUGCAGUGAGCCGACAUCAUGCCACUGCAUUCCAUCCUGGGUGACAGAGCAAGACUCUGUCUCAG
ensembl:misc_RNA Metazoa_SRP Metazoan signal recognition particle RNA